UGCUACUGAAGAGUGAGCAUUACCACUCAAAACUCUCUUCGCGAGCUUCGGCCGUCCCACAUUUGCACUUUUCUGCUCUUGUCACCAGUUGCAGCUGGGGUUUGUGCCUGAUUGGUCACUCGAGUAAUCCACUUGUGGCACUGUGUUGAUUGAAAACUGCCGAAACCAGUCGAAAUGGAGCGCCCUUCACACGUGACAUUAUGCCUAGUGGCAGUAUACAUGUACCUACAGGUUUGUUCAUUCACGCAAACAGACAACAAGGAAAUUAUUUUCUUAGAACGAGGCCACCGUGGGGUCGUACCUUGUCCCCCCAUCACAUCUGGCAAGUACACACCUGGAGACAUUGUCGCCAUGUAUUGGUACUACGGAACAACAAGCAGCACGGCCCUGCUGAUCUCGUACUUCAGGGGACGAGUUGCUCCUCAGAACGGCAUACCAUACGGCAUCUAUGAUAUCGACAGUGAGUUCUCUCUAGUCACUGAGAACGUCACUGCCAAAGACGAGGGAAUUUAUCACUUUAUGUUGAAGCCUCGAUUGCAAAUGGUUGAGGAAGGACAAGUAGAAGUUUGUGACAAGGUUUCCCCAAGGCAGACAUAUCCUACGGUCGUUGGAUGCAAACCAAGCGCAUCAGAUGCAAACCAGUGUGAGGUUCCUAUAGACCAAACCAUUGCGGAGCACAGCCUGACGUGUGUCAUGGAUCAGGUCAAACCUGCCGUGGAGCUGAGGUGGAGACGUCUGUAUUUAGGCGGAUCCACGGCACUCAACGCUUCCCUAACGGUCAAGCCUAUAGUUCUAGCAGCCGGCACAGGUUUGUCGUUGAGAAACAACACGUACUCGACUUCGGCAUCCAUCCAAGUAAACGAUGUCAGCGAUGAUGCAGUCUAUGAGUGUGAGGCAGUGGGUGUUGCUGUGGGCAGCGGCAGUCGCAUGAGAGUACAUUUUGCUAAGACUAUCCACACCACAGAGGUGUAUGAUAACAAGUGGCCAUCUGUUGAUGCUGGGCAGCCAAUGUCAUCGCAGAGUCCCCGCGACAAAGACUCAACACCUGCUUUGGGUCAUGACGUUUCGACAACCAAACCCAAACCAGGAGGAAACACAGUUGGCCUGAUUUUCUUGGUGGUUGUGUUUCCCAUCUCAGUCAUCGUACAUGUCAUCUUGAUCCUUUACAUUAUACAUCUAAGGAGGCUUUUAAGAAAGCUGAUAGACAAACGCAGGAUACAUCAAAGAUUGCCAUGAAGGAAUCGAUACUCGAGCUGGAACUCGAGCUAUCGGAGACUCUUGGCAACAAAUGCAGUUGAUGAUGGUGCAGGAACUUUCACAACUUUACAUAUAUACUUACACUUUCAAAGUACUUGGUUCCUUUUUGAAAAGAAAAAUCUUCCUAUGUGUUCAUAGUUAUAUGAAGGAAAAUCACAUCGAUGUGUGAGGCAGAUGUAGCAAUAAGAAUAAGAAUUCUGUCUGCUUUACAAGAGGAUGCACAGUGGAGAAGAACGGUGUCAACCUGUACAUCCUUCAGCCCCCCCCCCCACCCAACGAAAAGAAGUAAAACAAAAGAGUCAUAGCUAGUAUUAUAACAAUAAUUUACUCACCAUAACCGAAUAAAAAAAGCCUGAAAAGCGAUUCAAGUGUAACUAUAGAGGCUUAUACAGCACACCCCUGUCAGUAGCAUCUCCUUGCGUCGAAAGAUGGCAUGUUUCACUCAUACCAUAGGCCCCAAUUUCUGUUUUUAACACGAGUUUUAUUAUUUAAUUUUCAGUAUAUCAUAGUAGCAUUGCAUUACGCACGUUUAAAGUAAGAUUUAACACAUAUCAUUGUAGUACUUUCAUCCAGGAACUCUCUUACGUAGCUUCACUUCAAAAAUACCAGGAUUUUGGACGUAUAGCUUUUGUGAAACCUUAAACGCAAGCAUGCUCUGCAUAAUAAAGAAGUGUAAAGAGGGAAAUUAACAAAACAAGGGUUUCCUGUAUUAUUUCUUAAAAUAAGAAUAAAUACCAUAUAAAAUCUAAAAAUAAAAUAUUUACAUGUCAGUUAUCACAUAUCAUCAAUAGUUUCUCAAGAAGGAAAUGAUUCACAUUCAAUGGAACUGUAAACAGGAGACGAUCCAUUUUUAACCCCUUACGUAGUUUCCGAACUUUGUGUGAUCAGUGCUCAUGUACUUCGAAAAUAAUUCUGGAAAUCCCAAUUGGGAAGUCCAAUUUCCAAGUAACGGAAUACAGCUUCAUACUGAGUUUGAACGUACUGAGCUUGCACAUCGCUGUCCGUCCUCUCUAAAGUCCAACAACAUUUCUGUUGAAAAAUCUGUUGAGACUACUCAAAAUGGAUAGUGCUGUGAUAUUAUGCCUGAUGAUAUCAUUCCUCUGUUGUUGCUGUAAG
rnacentral:misc_RNA from 1 species